GAUGAACGCUGGCUACAGGCUUAACACAUGCAAGUCGAGGGGAAACGACGGGGAAGCUUGCUUCCCCGGGCGUCGACCGGCGCACGGGUGAGUAACGCGUAUCCAACCUGCCUCUGACUGAGGGAUAACCCGUCGAAAGUCGGCCUAAUACCUCAUGGCAUCGUCUGCGGGCAUCCAACGACGAUUAAAGAUUUCAUCGGUCAGGGAUGGGGAUGCGUCUGAUUAGCUAGUUGGCGGGGUAACGGCCCACCAAGGCUACGAUCAGUAGGGGUUCUGAGAGGAAGGUCCCCCACAUUGGAACUGAGACACGGUCCAAACUCCUACGGGAGGCAGCAGUGAGGAAUAUUGGUCAAUGGGCGAGAGCCUGAACCAGCCAAGUAGCGUGCAGGAUGACGGCCCUAUGGGUUGUAAACUGCUUUUAUGCGGGGAUAAAGUGCAGGACGUGUCCUUCAUUGCAGGACCGCAUGAAUAAGACCGCA
rnacentral:rRNA from 1 species